rnacentral:rRNA from 1 species
CCUACGGGAGGCAGCAGUGGGGGAUAUUGCACAAUGGGGGGAACCCUGAUGCAGCGACGCCGCGUGGGUGAAGAAGCGCCUCGGCGCGUAAAGCCCUGUCAGCAGGGAAGAAAAUGACGGUACCUGAAGAAGAAGCCCCGGCUAACUACGUGCCAGCAGCCGCGGUAAUCCGUAGGGGGCAAGCGUUAUCCGGAUUUACUGGGUGUAAAGGGGGCGCAGACGGCGAUGCAAGCCAGGGGUGAAAGCCCGGGGCCCAACCCCGGGACUGCUCUUGGAACUGCGUGGCUGGAGUGCAGGAGGGGCAGGCGGAAUUCGUGGUGUAGCGGUGAAAUGCGUAGAUAUCAGGAGGAACACCGGUGGCGAAGGCGGCCUGCGGGACUGCAACUGACGUUGAGGCCCGAAAGCGUGGGGAGCAAACAGGAUUAGAUACCCUGGUAGUC